AUUGAACGCUAGCGGGAUGCUUUACACAUGCAAGUCGAACGAGUGGCGGACGGGUGAGUAAUAUAUCGGAACGUGCCCAGUAGCGGGGGAUAACUACUCGAAAGAGUGGCUAAUACCGCAUACCAUUGGAGCGGCCGAUAUCGGAUUAGCUAGUUGGUGGGGUAAAGGCUCACCAAGGCAACGAUCCGUAGCUGGUUUGAGAGGACGACCAGGCGCUCUGGGACUGAGACACGGCCCAGUCUCCUAGGGGCGGCAGCAGUGGGGAAUUUUGGACAAUGGGGUAAACCCUGCUCCAGCCGUCCCGCGUGUAUGAGAAGGCCUUCGGGUUGUAAAGUACUUUCAGUCGGGAGGCGUUACCUGCAGAAGAAGCACCGGCUACCUCCGUGCCAGCCGCCGCGGUAAUUC
rnacentral:rRNA from 1 species